rnacentral:lncRNA from 1 species
GUUUUUUUAAAACGGCAGAGCCCAGCGCCUUUUUGACUCGGCGCCGUCGUGCGCCGCACGAUCUUGCCCCUAUAGAUGGCGCGGGCCUGACCAUACUACAAAUACGUACCAGACACAGUCUUAGAAAACUCGACACAACAAGAUGUACUAUGACAGAAUAAUCCUAACAGACAAAACCGUAUAUCACAACAGACCAGACAUCACUCUCAUAGACAAGCAAAACAAAGUUACUUACAUUAUAGACAUCUCAAUACCCAACAUACACAACAUCCAGGAUGCAUUCACCCAAAAAAUUAGCAAAUACAGAGAACUCUCACAAGAAAUUAAGUGUCUUUGGGAAAUGCAAAAGGUAGUCAUAGUACCUAUCAUUCUAU